ACGGGAUGGGUAGGACGGUUGCUGCUGCCUCACCCCCUCCCGUCUGGCAAGAUUUGACAGUAAAUGACACUUAGAGGGAAAUUAAAGUUGCUGAUCAGCGCGAUAGGUUGCUGCCAAAUGUGAAUUGAUUCACUCUUAACGCUGAGACUGAGUAGAAAAGGAAAAUGGGAUAUAUUUGCAGAUGACUGCAGGCUGCUUCUUCAAAGGACAGAAAAGGAGUGGGAUCAUGGCCAUGGAACUCAUCCUAACCUCUGCAUGUCUACUGGCCUUUCUUCUAACCAUAACACGUUCCAUGGAGAAUGUGAUAAUACAAAGAAAAUUCCAGGGAUGAGGGCACAUGGGUCACCACAGAAGAGGAGGAAAUGGAAAGAAAAAAGAGU